CCGCAGUUCGCAGGAGAGAGAGCUUCGUCAUCGAGGCUCCGCCGAAGGCGCAAACUCCCAUAAUCGCUCAGGCCACCAUACUGCGGAUUCCAU
rnacentral:ncRNA from 2 species